rfam:Canis lupus familiaris chromosome 34, whole genome shotgun sequence.
GCCUGGGUGGCUCAGUGGUUGAGCAUCUGCCUUUGACCCAGGGCAUGAUCCCAGGGUCCUGGGAUCAAGUCCUGCCUCAGGCU